GAACUCCAGGCCUCAAGGCUGAAGAGGACCACUUGUUCCAGAAGGUGGCAGCAGUUCACCAGCGGCAGAAAGACCUAAAGAAGAAGACACCUCCGCUCUUCCUCCUGUUGGUGCUAAAGUGACCUCUGCUGUUUAUCGUAAGCCUGCCGUGAAACUAUGGUUCCUCCGGUUGCAGUGUCACCUCUGAUUAAGACAGCCAGGUACUCAGCUUUGAUUGCUGGGAUCAUAUAUGGCAAAAGGAGAUAUGAUCACCUGAAGCCUAUUGCAGCGGAAGAGAGGAGGAUUGAGGAGGAGGAGAAGAAGGUCCGUGAAGAGCAGGAGCGCAUCGCCAAGCAGCUAGCAGAAGCAAAUGAUGACAGCAUUCUGAAGUAAAGCGUUGGAGUGCUGUUCCAGGAUGUCCACGUCCACGUGCAAUUUCCAACCUCUUCCACUCUAUCUGGAGUAGCUAUGGCAAAAUGGGGUCACUGCCACUCAAAAACACUCCUAUUUUGUGGACAUGUUCACCGCUACCUUUGAUAAUACAGCAGCCCUUUGGUUUUCCAGAUAUUGUGAUUUAAUGUUAGUCAUGGAUUAUUGAGUAAAGCUUUUGAACUCUUAAUGCCAUAUA